GAGGUCUGGACUGAGCCGAAGUCAGACGCUUAACCGAUUGAGUGACUCAGGUGAUGUGACUGUCCACAUAGAAAAUCCAGGAGAGGGCCACCUGGGUUAAGCGUUGGUUAAGCGUUGGAAUUCUCUCUCUCCCUCUCUCUCUCUGCCCCUCCCCUGCUCACACCCUCGCUUUCAAAAUAAAUAAACUUCAAAAGAAAAGAAAGCCCAGGAGAAUCUGCAGCUAGAUUAUCAGAGCUAAUAAGAACAUUUAGCAGUUAUGAGAUACAAAAACCAGUUGUGUUUCUGUGUCCCCUCAACACGCACGUGUGUUGUGGAAAAUCAACCUCUGUGCUCCAGAGCCAAAAUGUAACACGCAGAGACGGUCUGGGGACAAAGAGGGACAAUAGUUUUAUCACUUUGCCAGGCAAAGGAGGCCACAGCAGGCUAGUGCCUUCAAAACUGCAGACCGGCCCGGGGUAAAAUGCUGAGGGGUUUUAUAGGAAAAUACAGGAUCCAGGCAGUGCCAGUAGGAAUCUGGACCGGGAUGCCAGCCACGUUCGUCAUCUUCAAGAUGGUCUUGUGACCAGCGAUGGCGCCGACAAUCAAGCUUCAUUACUGAGAAUCAAUACCGAGUCCCUGGAACAAAGGAUUCUGCAGAAAAACAAGUGGAGGGGAGGAGGCUUCAAGAAUGAGGAAGAGGAAAAUUGGCUCAGUUUAAAGUCAAGCCUUGCUGGAGCAUUAGUGUGUCCACCUUCAUUUUCCAUCUUUGCGUUUCUAUAGCAGCUUCAGGUGCUUACCAGAGCACGGGAAAUAGCAAAUACUUAGGAAAUAAGCCUAAUAAAAAAGAAUUUGUAAGA